rnacentral:rRNA from 1 species
UGGGGAAUUUUGGACAAUGGGCGAAAGCCUGAUCCAGCCAUGCCGCGUGAGUGAAGAAGGCCUUCGGGUUGUAAAGCUCUUUUAGUAGGGAAGAAAAGAUCGUAAAUAAUACUUGCGAUUAAUGACGGUACCGACAGAAAAAGCCCCGGCUAACUACGUGCCAGCAGCCGCGGUAAUACGUAGGGUGCGAGCGUUAAUCGGAAUUACUGGGCGUAAAGGGUGCGCAGGCGGUUUUGUAAGUCGGAUGUGAAAUCCCCGGGCUUAACCUGGGAAUUGCGUUUGAAACUAUAAGACUAGAGUGCAGGAGAGGGGAGUGGAAUUCCAUGUGUAGCAGUGAAAUGCGUAGAGAUGUGGAAGAACACCGAUGGCGAAGGCAGCUCCCUGGAUUGACACUGACGCUCAUGCACGAAAGCGUGGGGAGCAAACA